rnacentral:rRNA from 1 species
CAGUCGAACGAAGCAUUUGCGACAGAUUUUUUCGGAAUGAAGUUGCUUAUGCCUGAGUGGCGGACGGGUGAGUAACGCGUGGGUAACCUGCCUUGUACUGGGGGAUAGCAGCUGGAAACGGCUGGUAAUACCGCAUAAGCGCACAAUGUUGCAUGACAUGGUGUGAAAAACUCCGGUGGUAUAAGAUGGACCCGCGUCUGAUUAGCUAGUUGGUGAGAUAACAGCCCACCAAGGCGACGAUCAGUAGCCGACCUGAGAGGGUGACCGGCCACAUUGGGACUGAGACACGGCCCAGACUCCUACGGGAGGCAGCAGUGGGGAAUAUUGCACAAUGGAGGAAACUCUGAUGCAGCGACGCCGCGUGAGUGAAGAAGUAAUUCGUUAUGUAAAGCUCUAUCAGCAGGGAAGAUAAUGACGGUACCUGACUAAGAAGCACCGGCUAAAUACGUGCCAGCAGCCGCGGUAAUACGUAUGGUGCAAGCGUUAUCCGGAUUUACUGGGUGUAAAGGGUGCGUAGGUGGUGAGACAAGUCUGAAGUGAAAAUCCGGGGCUUAACCCCGGAACUGCUUUGGAAACUGCCUGACUAGAGUACAGGAGAGGUAAGUGGAAUUCCUAGUGUAGCGGUGAAAUGCGUAGAUAUUAGGAGGAACACCAGUGGCGAAGGCGACUUACUGGACUGCUACUGACACUGAGGCACGAAAGCGUG